rnacentral:misc_RNA from 1 species
CAAAGAAAUAACCGUGUGAUAUUGUUUCAUUCCCACAAGAGCAGAUAAAAAUCGACAAAAUUGAACAAUAGAAGGCAGAGGACGCAAAAGAAUGAUAUGAUUAAAGAAAGCUAAGGCAUCAUCAACGUCCCUAAAAGAAGAAGAAUUGAACUUAGAUCUCAAGAAACGUUGAGAUUUUGCAUCUUUAGGAUUAUGCGUGGAAGCG